rnacentral:rRNA from 1 species
AACGAACGCUGGCGGCAGGCCUAACACAUGCAAGUCGAACGCUCCGCAAGGGGAGUGGCGCACGGGUGAGUAACACGUGGGAACCUACCUUCUGGUACGGAACAACCAAGGGAAACUUUGGCUAAGACCGUAUACGACCUCCGGGUGAAAGAUUGAUCGCCGGAAGAGGGGCCCGCGUCCGAUUAGGUAGUUGGUGAGGUAACGGCUCACCAAGCCUUCGAUCGGUAGCUGGUCUGAGAGGAUGACCAGCCACACUGGGACUGAGACACGGCCCAGACUCCUACGGGAGGCAGCAGUGGGGAAUAUUGGACAAUGGGCGCAAGCCUGAUCCAGUCAUGCCGCGUGAGUGAUGAAGGCCUUC